rnacentral:tRNA from 1 species
UAGCUCAGUUGGUUAGAGCACCACCUUGACAUGGUGGGGGUCGUUGGUUCGAAUC